GGUACAGAGGGAGUGCUACCGGGCCGACCGGAUGCGGAUCUCGAAAGCCUGUCCCAGUUCGGACUGGAGUCUGCAACCCGACUCCACGAAGUUGGAUUCGCUAGUAAUCGCGCAUCAGCCAUGGCGCGGUGAAUACGUUCCCGGGCCUUGUACACACCGCCCGUCAAGCCAUGGGAGCCGGGGGCGCCUGAAGUCCGGGACCGCGAGGACCGGCCUAGGGCGAAACUGGUAACUGGGGCUAAGUCGUAACAAGGUACC
rnacentral:rRNA from 1 species